AUUGAACGCUGGCGGAAUGCUUUACACAUGCAAGUCGAACGGCAGCACGGACUUCGGUCUGGUGGCGAGUGGCGAACGGGUGAGUAAUACAUCGGAACGUGCCCAGUCGUGGGGGACAACGUAGCGAAAGCUACGCUAAUACCGCAUACGAUCUACGGAUGAAAGCGGGGGAUCGCAAGACCUCGCGCGAUUGGAGCGGCCGAUGGCAGAUUAGGUAGUUGGUGGGGUAAAGGCUCACCAAGCCGACGAUCUGUAGCUGGUCUGAGAGGACGACCAGCCACACUGGGACUGAGACACGGCCCAGACUCCUACGGGAGGCAGCAGUGGGGAAUUUUGGACAAUGGGCGCAAGCCUGAUCCAGCCAUUCCGCGUGCAGGAUGAAGGCCCUCGGGUUGUAAACUGCUUUUGUACGGAACGAAAAGGCCCUGGUUAAUACCUGGGGCUCAUGACGGUACCGUAAGAAUAAGCACCGGCUAACUACGUGCCAGCCGCCGCGGUAA
rnacentral:rRNA from 1 species